GGCUCAGAUUGAACGCUGGCGGCAUGCCUUACACAUGCAACGUCGAACGGUAACGGGCCUUCGGGUGCCGACGAGUGGCGAACGGGUGAGUAAUGCAUCGGAACGUACCUUUCAGUGGGGGAUAACGUAGCGAAAGUUUACGCUAAUACCGCAUAUUCUGUGAGCAGGAAAGCAGGGGAUCGCAAGACCUUGCGCUGAUUGAGCGGCCGAUGUCAGAUUAGCUAGUUGGUGAGGUAAAGGCUCACCAAGGCGACGAUCUGUAGCGGGUCUGAGAGGAUGAUCCGCCACACUGGAACUGAGACACGGUCCAGACUCCUACGGGAGGCAGCAGUGGGGAAUUUUGGACAAUGGGGCAACCCUGAUCCAGCCAUGCCGCGUGAGUGAAGAAGGCCUUCGGGUUGUAAAGCUCUUUCGGCCGGGAAGAAAUCGCAUGGGUUAAUACCCUGUGCGGAUGACGGUACCGGCAUAAGAAGCACCGGCUAACUACGUG
rnacentral:rRNA from 1 species